GACGAACGCUGGCGGCGUGCUUAACACAUGCAAGUCGAACGGAAAGGCCCUGCUCUUGUGGGGUGCUCGAGUGGCGAACGGGUGAGUAACACGUGAGUAACCUGCCCUUGACUUUGGGAUAACUUCAGGAAACUGGGGCUAAUACCGGAUAGGAGCUCCUGCUGCAUGGUGGGGGUUGGAAAGUUUCGGCGGUUGGGGAUGGACUCGCGGCUUAUCAGCUUGUUUGUGGGGUAGUGGCUUACCAAGGCUUUGACGGGUAGCCGGCCUGGGAGGGUGAACGGCGACAAUGGGACUGAGAUACGGACCAGAAUCCUACGGGACGCAGCAGUGGGGAGUCUUGCGCAGUGGGGGGAAGCCUGAUGCAGCAACGCCGCGUGCGGGAUGACGGCCUUCGGGUUGUAAACCGCUUUCGCAUGUGCCGAAGAGUGAGUGACGGUAAUGGGUAAAGAAGCACCGGCUAACUACGUG
rnacentral:rRNA from 1 species